UUGAACGCUGGCGGCAGGCCUAACACAUGCAAGUCGAGCGGAUGAAGGGAGCUUGCUCCUGAAUUCAGCGGCGGACGGGUGAGUAAUGCCUAGGAAUCUGCCUGGUAGUGGGGGACAACGUUUCGAAAGGAACGCUAAUACCGCAUACGUCCUACGGGAGAAAGCAGGGGACCUUCGGGCCUUGCGCUAUCAGAUGAGCCUAGGUCGGAUUAGCUAGUUGGUGAGGUAAUGGCUCACCAAGGCGACGAUCCGUAACUGGUCUGAGAGGAUGAUCAGUAACACUGGAAUUGAGACACGGUCCAAACUCCUAGGGGAGGCAGCAGUGGGGAAUAUUGGACAAUGGGCGAAAGCCUGAUCCAGCCAUGCCGCGUGUGUGAAGAAGUUCUUCGGAUUGUAAAGCACUUUAAUUUGGGAGGAAGGGUUGUAGAUUAAUACUCUGCAAUUUUGACGUUACCGACAGAAUAAGCACCGGCUAACUCUGUGCCAGCCGCCGCCGUAACAC
rnacentral:rRNA from 1 species